rnacentral:rRNA from 1 species
UACAGAGGUCUCAAGCGUUGUUCGGAUUCAUUGGGCGUAAAGGGUGCGUAGGUGGCGCCGUAAGUCGGGUGUGAAAUUUCGGAGCUUAACUCCGAAACUGCAUUCGGUACUGCGGUGCUUGAGGACUGGAGAGGAGACUGGAAUUCAUGGUGUAGCAGUGAAAUGCGUAGAGAUCAUGAGGAAGACCAGUGGCGAAGGCGGGUCUCUGGACAGUUCCUGACACUGAGGCACGAAGGCCAGGGGAGCAAACGGG